rnacentral:tRNA from 1 species
UCCUCUGUAGUUCAGUGGUAGAACGAUGGACUGUUAAUCCAUGUGUCACUGGUUCGAAUCCAGUCGGAGGAG